UACCCACAGCUCAAGGCUCCAAUCCUGUGGCCUAGGGGAGACGAGGAUCCAUUCUCCAGGCCCCAGCCCUAUCUCCUUGCUCCCGCCUCCCCUAGCAGUCUGCCUGUCAGCCCAGAUGGCCAGGCCGGGAGCUACUCUCACCCUGUACUUCCUCCCCCUGUCCUGACCCAGAAACACUGCCAAGCUGCAGGUGGGCCAGGGCCCCCAGCCAGGAUCCCAGCCCCUCCCUUCUCCCCUGCCUGGCCUGGAGUUGAAGCUCAAGGUCUCAGCUUCUUCCUCCCAGUCCAGGGAUGGGCACAGGCACAGAUGGUGCCAUACCCACUGGGCAGCCAGAGGGAGUGGCAUAUGGUCCCAGUAUGAGGUCAGAGAGACCCCCUUCCCUUCAGUGGAAGGCUUGCCUGGUAAUCUGAGAACCAGGUCAUGACUGGCAUUGGCUGGGGUUCCAUGGGGGAGGGGCCUGGCUCCCUGCAGGAGCCCACAGGGAACAUGGCUGAACCAGCCUGGUGGUCAGGCCCUAGGAAGCUCCAUUUAGGUAAGGAGCUGAAAGGUGAAGGGACUGGUAGGGAGGAGCCAGCAUUUAAACUGUAUGACCCCAGUCAGCAGAAGAAGAGAUCAGAGGAGGAUAUACUUAGACAGUGGUGGGCGCAACAUGCAUGUUUGGGGGACAAUGGAUAGUGCUGAUUCUGGAACAAAGAAUGAGGGGGGACGUGGGGGCAGGCUACAAGGGGUAUAUGAAGGAUGGGAGCAACAAUGGGGAGAUGGAUCUAAAUGAAGGUGAGGUCCAGGCAGCCCCUCCUAGGGCUGAGGUGUCCGAUCUGGGCUUGAAGCUUAGAUCUGUCACUGUGUAACUGGGUAGCUUUGA